CUGGAGUGCCCGACUUUUGAAUCAGGGGCAUAUUUAUAGCAUUUCAAUAAUAAAGCAGGGAAAUUAUGUCAUCACAGCAAUAGAAAUCCUGCCAUCGAGGGUCUGUGUUGCAGCCCGUCAGCGCACCUCCUGCUGAUAAAGGUGGCAUUCGGAGUAACAGAAGUGAGAGGUGGGACAAAUGAUGAGUAUCUGUGAUAAGGCUCAAAAGUUGCAAAUGGAAAAGGAGAAGAAAGAUGUGGAUGUAUUACAUGGCCAUGGGUUAAAUGAACAAGGAGUGAGCCAAGCCCUGAAAAGGCAGACGAAGGCGUUUACGCUCAUCAUUGGGCAGAUAACAGCUAAUGGACCAUUUCAAGAGCGGAGUGAUUCUUUUGCAUGGGAAAAAUGCUGUGAAAUCUCUUUGAGAGCAAGCGCCGUUGAUGAAGACUAUGGAAACAAAACAAAAACAGCAUUAGUGACACUGUUUUGAAUGUUACUGCUCAGCAGACAUGGAAACUGAAGAAACUACGUUCAGUUUUCCUUUCCUCUAAUGAGCCUUUUUUUACACGGACAUAUCCAGAGAAAUUUGAUAUCGGUACACUCCCAGGAAAAACCCAUAUUCCUACAAAAACUUUAGUGCACACUUUCCAGAAGCAAUACAUGAAGAUGAACUAGUGUGGCCUCUUGUUUUUGGAUCCCGGUUAUACCUUUGGCCCCAUACAAUCUUUUGGCUUGGCACUGAACCUAGUAAAAAAUGAUGGGCUUGUCCAAUUUGCCCAGAGUUGCAUUGUCUGCGUUACAGAGUUUAACCAGACUGCAUUCUUUUUGUCUUAUUAUAUCUGAGGUGAAUUGAGGAAGACAGGUGCUAGCCCUCUAAGUAGUUAAUACCUUGGCUGAAGAGUUUUUCUCACUGUACGGAAGAGUGAAAGAACACCCACUUCUACCACUUGGCCCUAAAGCAAGAGCUGGCUGCCUCUGGCCAUUGCAGACAACCAGCAUGACCUGGAUAUGGCUGCAUGUAGAUGCGUCCCGUGUGCUCUGACCCGGUGCUGCUCUCCACCUGGCUGCAUCUUCUCCAAAAAAGCGUGCAGAACUGGCCAGAGAAGGUUUCACAGAAUCACAGAAUCGUUUAGAUUGGAAGGAUCAUCUAGUCCAACCUCCCUGCUCAAGCAAGGUCCUCUAGAGCAUAUUGCCCAGGAUCACAUCCAGACGGGUUUUGAAUAUCUCCAGGGAAGGAGACUCCACCACCUCUCUGGGCAACCUGUUCCAAUGCUCUGUCACCCUCACAGUGAAGAAGUUUUUCCUCAGGUUUAGAUGGAACUUCCUGUGGUUCAGUUUCUGCCCGUUGCCUCUUGUCCUCUUGCUGGGCACCACGGAGAAGAGACUCAUCCUCUUGACACUCCCCCUUCAGAUACUUAUACACGUUGAU
rnacentral:lncRNA from 1 species